rnacentral:misc_RNA from 1 species
GACAAUUUACACGCACACACACACACACACACACACACACACUGCUGACGCUUGUGCGAGCGAGCGUCAGUGUGCUCUCUACUGGCGCUGGCUUUGCAGUUGUUUCGCUGGAGAGAUAGAGACGGCAGUAGCUACGCACCAGCAGCAGCAAGCGGAGGAAGGAGGGAGAGAGAGAGAGCUCUGCCGCGGUAGCGCUCGCAGCUGUCAGCGCUCACUGCCGCAUACGCACAGACUUGCGCACGUGUACCCUAUCUGAUAGGUAAGGCUGGACAGUGGGAAUGAGGUCUGCGAUAGCGCUGCAUGCUGCGCGAAGGUGCACCCGACUCACGCAGUUGCCAGUCAUGAGCGCAUAUGUGAUGCCUCGUCGCUGCUGCGCCUCCACCUCCUCCUCUUCGCCUCUGUCCGUCUCAGCCGUGGACGGGCCAACUCUGCACCCAAGCGUCGCAUCUGCUCACAUGCACGCCAGCUGCCUCCUGGCGCAGCUCGUGAGCGAGCAGAUGCCAUCCUCUCUGGAAGCGUUGGUGUCGCUGACGGAAGAGUGGUGGGGGUUAGUCGAGCGGCUGGUGCAACUGCCGGUGGUUGCUGCCGAUCUGGGCCAGCUGCUGGUGGAAACCGCACACGCGGAAGAGGUCCAGCGUGAUCAUGGCAGCGCUGGGCUCGAGGAAAAGGCUAUUGCGCAGUGGGAGGAGUGGGUCUGGACCAGUGUUCCCCGCACGGUGCCUGCCCCUGCUGCGCGCGAGGCCGCUGUAAGCGAAGAUGCUUUGCCUGUUUCUCCUCCCGACAUCCUCUCCUUUACGCAGUUUGCGGACCUUCUGCACUCUUACGAUCGCUAUCGUCUCGGGGUCCGCUGGGGUGCGUCCCGCCCCAGUGGAGACUGGGCGUCACGUGGAGGGGCCGUCGCUGCCGCUGCCUACUACCGCCGACGUUACUUCCUCCACCCGUGGCAUGGUAUGCACUGCCCCGCCGGCGCGGCCGAGCAAAUGCCUUACGUGCAUGUUCUGCAAUGGAUGUUGGCGCGGAAGGGAAGCAGUGUCGAGGCGUCGCCAACCGCGGCAGAGCUGUGGGAGCGCCACCGCGCACUGGAACCAUUUCAACCAUCUUCGUCUUCUUUCAAGGCCUUGGAUGUGUGCUGCCAGAGCGGCUACGUGUCGGACUUGCUCAUUCGCGCUGGGGCCGGCGUCGUGGUGGCAGCCGAUGCCGACCCCACCGCACUCGCCAACGCAGAGUCUACGUAUCAUGAGUGCGUGCGUGAGGGCGGAGGCAGAAGCCGGAAUGCUGUGCUGUACACCCGCCGCUGUGAAGGGUUGCCUCGGCCAACGGCGGCGCGCGCCAGCCGCCGCAGCCCGUCCGCGCCAAAGAGAGGUGGUGCCGGUGCUGACGUUGGAGCUGGAGUGCAGUCGACGAGCGCGUCCGCGGCUGAGCGCCGGCGCCGGCGGGCCAGGGAAGAGGGACGAGGCUACAGCGGAUUGACCUGGCCCAGCGAGGAGAGAUCCAUGUCGGGCGCCGAGAGCGCCGACGCGGACGCUUCCGCUGGUCCAUUUGAUGUGCUGUACAUCCACCCUCCUAGCGCAGUAUCCAUCUGGCCGGUCGCAACGACGGAGCAGUUCAACCUGCGCAGAACGAUGUGGUGGCACAAGCUGAAUCACAGUGUGGAAGCCGAGGGGCUGGACGCAACUCUUCUCCUUCCGUAUCUCCCUUGCACUGCGGCGCCAGCACUCGCACGGCACAACCCUCUCGCCACGCGCUCCGGCCUGGAGCGGGCGCUUGAUGCGCUUCGUGCGGAUGUGACGGAGCGCAGCGCGGCUGCGUCCCCGUCUGGUGACGAGGCACUGCGUAGCGGCGCCCUCCUAGCCGAUGAAGGGUACGUAGUGCUAGUACUACCUCGAACCUAUGACACCGACCUCCUGCUGCGCGGCGAGAUGCUUGGGGCACCUUCGUUGGCGGACUGGGCGGUGUCGCAGCUGGACGGCUACUACGAUCUGAUCCUCCGCCGACGCUGUGGCGCGCACGCUCCCCCGUCGGCGAGCAACGCAGCGCAGUCGUCGAACGGGGUGGAUGGCAUGCUCUUAGGGGCCUUUCGUAAUGCGCAACGCCGAUUCGAGAGAGCCUCGAGUGGCGCGUCUGCACAGUGGGCUGCGGAGUUGCAGCGCAUCUCCCGGGAGGAGAUGUGGCAUGAUGUGCUAGUGCUGCGCAAGAGCCGGACAAUGGCCCGUCGGUGCGCCGCUCCGCAUACGGAGGGCUUGGGGCAGGACAGGGCGGCGGCCGCCGGCACGGUACAGUGGGAGGACUCUUUCGAGUACAACGAGUACUACCCUCGCGGUACGGUUCCACACACAAGCCACCACUGGACCGCCCUGGUGCCCACCUACUCGUAUCUCGAGGAGGACUUCUACGAGUCUCCGAGUGCCGCGCGCAACUUCUUGGCGGUGGGCUACCCCGUCUCAGCCAACUCAGCAGUGACCGCCGGCUAUGGCGUGCCGGUCGGCGCGACCCCAAGAGCCGCCGCAGCGGGGGAGCACAAUCCAGCAACCGAUGGUGUGAAAGAAGCUUCGCAUCUGGCGUCUGCGAACUUCCACACCGUCUUUGCGCAGGAGCUGCGCACGCGGCGCCGCUCGAAGCUGCGCAAGCUGGCCCUGAGUCCACUGGAGCAGCAGGAGUGGUAUAUCGAUGAGAAGCUGGUGAAAUCGAGUGCUGCCAAGCUGGAGCUGCUCAACGAACUCUCCAAGUGGGAUCUGAAGGACUACGAUAAGUGAAAGGGAGAGUUACGGAUGAGUGACGCACGAGCGCGUUGGAUGGAUCCCGUGCAUGUCAGUGUGCCUGUUUGUGUGUGUGCGUGCGCGGAGGGGGUUGAUAGCCUCUUCGGUCACUUCCUUAAUGCCAAUUGUGCGCGUCGUCUUCACAGAGUUCAGGCAAUGUUUUGUCUUGCUUGCUCGUGCCCAUGUGUGCGGGCAGUCUGCAACGGCGGUGCUGCGGAAGGCGGAUGUGCGGAUGGAUAGGAGGAGGGGGGUUGAACACCGCAGCAGGAGUCCACGCCGCCACCUCUUCGCUCCUCUCCGCCGUCUCCACCACACCGUCCGCAUUUCCUUGUGUGCCGGCUCUAAGCCUCUGCCACCCUGACACACAUGCGCAAAGGACCAGAGAAGGAAAAGAAUAUAUUAGCGUGGUUUGUGGUGCAACGAGAACACUUCAGUUGGCAUGCGUGUCAUCGUGCCGCGCGUCUUUG